rnacentral:lncRNA from 1 species
UACACCUUAAAAAGUGGCUAGGGCAUUGCAGAGUCUGAAAGGCAUCCUUUUAUAGGGAAAGGAGCAAAAGGGGUAGGUGAAUAUGGUCUUCUCUCAGUCUUCUAGAGUAACUAAAAUCCAAUAAACCUUGAAUACCCAUCAAGGUAGCAAUAAUGUGUUCUUUUGGCAAGUCUCUCUAACAUCUUAUCGACAAAUGGAAGAGGGAAGUGGUCUUUUUAGUGGAAGCAUUCAGCUUCAGGUAGUCAAUGCAGACCUACCAUCCGUUUUAUGUCCUAGUUAACACUUUCUCACCAUCCUAGUUUUUUAUCAU